rnacentral:rRNA from 1 species
UUGUCGGCAAGCGGCAAACGGGUGAGUAAUAUCUGGGAAUCUACCCAAAAGAGGGGGAUAACUACUAGAAAUGGUAGCUAAUACCGCAUAAAGUUGAAAAACCAAAGUGGGGGACCUUUAGCCUCAUGCUUUUGGAUGAGCCCAGACGAGAUUAGCUUGUUGGUAAGGUAAAGGCUUACCAAGGCUACGAUCUCUAGCUGGUCUGAGAGGAUAACCAGCCACACUGGAACUGAGACACGGUCCAGACUCCUACGGGAGGCAGCAGUGGGGAAUAUUGCACAAUGGGCGAAAGCCUGAUGCAGCUAUGCCGCGUGUAUGAAGAAGGCCUUAGGGUUGUAAAGUACUUUCAGCGGGGAGGAAAAAAAUAAAACUAAUAAUUUUAUUUCGUGAC